rnacentral:rRNA from 1 species
UGGGGAAUCUUAGACAAUGGGCGCAAGCCUGAUCUAGCCAUGCCGCGUGAGUGAUGAAGGCCCUAGGGUCGUAAAGCUCUUUCGCCUGUGAAGAUAAUGACUGUAGCAGGUAAAGAAACCCCGGCUAACUCCGUGCCAGCAGCCGCGGUAAUACGGAGGGGGUUAGCGUUGUUCGGAAUUACUGGGCGUAAAGCGCGCGUAGGCGGACUAUUAAGUCAGGGGUGAAAUCCCGGGGCUCAACCCCGGAACUGCCCUUGAUACUGGUAGUCUUGAGUUCGAGAGAGGUGAGUGGAAUUCCGAGUGUAGAGGUGAAAUUCGUAGAUAUUCGGAGGAACACCAGUGGCGAAGGCGGCUCACUGGCUCGAUACUGACGCUGAGGUGCGAAAGUGUGGGGAGCAAACA